GAUGAACGCUGGCGGCGUGCUUAACACAUGCAAGUCGAUCGGAAAGGCCCAAGCUUGCUUGGGUACUCGAGUGGCGAACGGGUGAGUAACACGUGGGUGAUCUGCCCUGCACUUCGGGAUAAGCCUGGGAAACUGGGUCUAAUACCGGAUAGGACGAUGGUUUGGAUGCCAUUGUGGAAAGUUUUUUCGGUGUGGGAUGAGCUCGCGGGCUAUCAGCUUGUUGGUGGGGUAAUGGCCUACCAAGGCGUCGACGGGGAGCCGGCCUGAGAGGGUGUACGGCCACAUUGGGACUGAGAGACGGCCCAGACUCCGACGGGAGGCAGCAGUGGGGAAUAUUGGACAAUGGGCGCAGGCGUGAGGCAGCGACGCCGCGUGGGGGAUGACGGCCUUCGGGUUGUAAACUCCUUUCGCUGGGGACGAAGCGUUUUUGUGACGGUACCUGGAGAAGAAGCACCGGCUAACUACGUG
rnacentral:rRNA from 1 species